GAUGAACGCUGGCGGCGUGCCUAAUACAUGCAAGUCGAGCGAACAGACGAGGAGCUUGCUCCUCUGACGUUAGCGGCGGACGGGUGAGUAACACGUGGAUAACCUACCUAUAAGACUGGGAUAACUUCGGGAAACCGGAGCUAAUACCGGAUAAUAUAUUGAACCGCAUGGUUCAAUAGUGAAAGACGGUUUUGCUGUCACUUAUAGAUGGAUCCGCGCCGCAUUAGCUAGUUGGUAAGGUAACGGCUUACCAAGGCGACGAUGCGUAGCCGACCUGAGAGGGUGAUCGGCACAACUGGAACUGAGACACGGUCCAGCCUCCUACGGGAGGAAGAAGUAGGGAAUCUUCCGCAAUGGGCGAAAGCCUGACGGAGCAACGCCGCGUGAGUGAUGAAGGUCUUCGGAUCGUAAAACUCUGUUAUUAGGGAAGAACAAAUGUGUAAGUAACUAUGCACGUCUUGACGGUACCUAAUCAGAAAGCCACGGCUAACUACGUG
rnacentral:rRNA from 1 species